CUUGCUACGUCUCCUUCCUCUUCCUGGGCUGCGACACUGGCCCUGUGGCUGGGGUUACUGUUCCCUAUGGAAACAGCACAGCACCUGGCUCAGCCCUGGACCCCUACUCGCCCUGCAAUAAUAACUGUGAAUGCCAAACCGAUUCCUUCACUCCAGUGUGUGGGGCAGAUGGCAUCACCUACCUGUCUGCCUGCUUUGCUGGCUGCAACAGCACGAAUCUCACGGGCUGUGCGUGCCUCACCACCGUCCCUGCUGAGAACGCAACCGUGGUUCCUGGAAAAUGCCCCAGUCCUGGGUGCCAAGAGGCCUUCCUCACUUUCCUCUGUGUGAUGUGUAUCUGCAGCCUGAUCGGUGCCAUGGCACAGACACCCUCAGUCAUCAUCCUCAUCAGGACAGUCAGCCCUGAACUCAAGUCUUACGCUUUGGGAGUUCUUUUUCUCCUCCUUCGUUUGUUGGGCACAGAGUACCAAGACAUUGAGACUGAGAAAACCUGCCCCGAAUCACAUUCACCUUCAGAAGACUCC
rnacentral:lncRNA from 1 species